UGGACUUAGCUGCCCUGCAGCUUUUGGGAUCUUCCCGGACCAGGCUGACAAGCGAGACUGAGAGGGGAGACGGGAAGGUCGUUACGAAAAUGAAGUGCGCAGCUAAGUGGCACGCCACUGCCAUCCACCUGCCCGCCCAGAGUGAGUGACUGAGAUGUGGGAAGCAGGCUUGCCUCACUUCGGGGGCUCCUGGCUGGGCCGGGGGUCAGCACCACGGACAGUGCACAGCUUCGUUCUGCCUUCCCUUGGUCUGGCAUGCCAGCUCCUUCUGCUCCCUGAUAAAGUUUGUUUUUCCUAAGCCUCAGAUGGGGUGUCAUCCCCCUCUGGAAAUCUUGAGUGCAGCCCCAGAUGGUGUCUGCAGGGCAAUCUUUGCACAAUCUCAUAGCACCUAUGACAGGGUGUUAAAAUGCUUCAUUUCCUUGGCUGUUUUCCCUACUCGUUUGUAAACCACCUUGAACGCAGGGUGUGUGUUACCCUCUCCAUAUUCCUGAGUCCUGACCAUGUGCCCAGCACUUAGGGAGAGAAUUUGUUGGGGAAUGAAUGAAUGAACCGGUGAAUAAAUGCAUAGACAGACAA